UGAAGCCUGGGAAGCAGCAUGAUUUGAGAUAAAAAGAUUGAAUUCAUCAACACACCUUCUGAAGAUGCAUUUUUAGUAUCAAAAUUAUGUAGAGAUAGAAUGGGGUCAAAGCCAAUCUGACUUUUCCACCUUACUUUAGAAUCUAAAGUUUAGACAAAUUGGCACCAUUUCGCAUUGUAUUGUAUCACAUUUUAGGAGAGUUGUUUCCUUCGGGGUAGAACUUCUAUCAAAUCCCUGUAGAGCUUACACUGCAACAAUAAUGGGAGAAGACAUUUGGCUAAAGUGGGAGCACCUGACCUCUUGUUUUUGAAGAGUAAUUAUGAAAUCACCUGUUUCUUUAAAUCCCAGAAGAUCAAUUUUCUGAUUGAAAAGAAUUGAAAAAAAAUUUUUUUUUGAAAAUGAGUCGCAUCGGGAGUUACCAAGUGCAAUUUAUUCUUUAUAUGUGAAUGAGAAAGUCACUAGAAGAACAUGUGAGGGGGCAGAGAUGGAUUUUGAACAUGCUGUCUAAAUUAUUGAACUAAAAGCCUAGCUUUCAACAUGUUUCAGAGGACCAAUUGUAUGAAUGCGAGGCAGUGCACCAUGAUGGAUAAGAGCAUAGACUGGGUUUGAAUCCUGACUCUACUUACUGGCCGUGUGACAGCAGCACAGUCUUGGGAAAGUAUUUUUCAAGGAUCACUUGAUGAUUAAAACUGACUGAUAAACAAAUCAGAGAACAAACAGGAACAUUUGAUGGUGAAAAUACAGUAUUUUCUGGAUCAUGUAGUUCCAUGGCUUGCAUUCCUUGCUGCCAAAAGAGGGAAGGAGAGAAUCUUCAGACACUUGGUUAGUAUUCGCCCUCUGGAAGAAAGUGAACAUCAAAGCACAGACUGACUACAUACCCGUGAUUCGGAGCCUUGCCUCUGAGGGGCCAGCUCCUGGUGACAGUUUCUGACAUUCUGCUAAAGUUAGUGUGUGCUGCUGGCCUCCAGGCAGGUGUCCUGUGUCAGCAAUGACAAUUUUAAAUGAAUGGGGCACCUUGCCGAAAAAUUACCACGUAUACAAAUGAGUGACUUUGUAGUUAGCUCCUGAAAAUACUGUACAUAGAAAGACA